AGUAAAGAGCUAGGGCUUGGGAGAGAAGAGAGAAAGAAGAGAAGGAAGAGGAGAAAGAGAAGAGCAAUCAAGGAGAUCAUCGUGGAUUUUUCGUCGGGGGUGAUCCCUAUCAAGGUAUGUGAGUCUCUAGUGUGGGUUGAUCCUUUCCCCCCACAAACCAAGCUCAUUUUUUAUGAUUUGAGAAGAGAUUGGUUUUGUUGUUGAAGUUGUUAGUUGUUGUUGAUGUUGUUAGUUGUGUUGUGGAAGU
rnacentral:lncRNA from 1 species